rnacentral:sRNA from 1 species
ACGGGAAACCGACCAGACCCUGGGCAGGGGCGGGGGAACCAGGUUCGUUGCCGUUUCCUCCACGGCUUGGGGUGAAGCCGCCCGAGCGGGAUCGUCUCCGCGCACGGCGGCCGGGCCACCUCCCGGUCCGAACCCGACAGCUCACCUCGCAGGCGUGCGGAGAGGGACU